AUGUACCCCUCGUACAUUCCGGUUCUGGGUGUGCCGUCCACACCCACCUGACCAGUGCGCGCUACGUCCCGUGCGCC
rnacentral:sRNA from 1 species